rnacentral:misc_RNA from 1 species
GUAGGUGAACCUGCGGAAGGAUCAUUAUUGAAAUUAUAGGUGAGGGUUGUAGCUGGCCUCUCGGGGCAUGUGCACGCCUGAGCCCUUAAUCCACACACACCUGUGAACCUAUUGUAAGGGCCCUUAAAAAAGGCCUUUACGUCUUAUCAUCAACCCAUCGUAUGUCUCAUAGAAUGUAAAUAUAUGUCCUCGCCUUAAAAAGCGUUGAUAAACUUAUACAACUUUCAACAACGGAUCUCUUGGCUCUC